rnacentral:rRNA from 1 species
UACGUAGGGGGCAGGCGUUGUCCGGAUUUAUUGGGCGUAAAGAGCGUGUAGGCGGCCAGGUAGGUCUGCUGUGAAAACUCGAGGCUCAACCUCGAGACGUCGGCGGAAACCAUCUGGCUAGAGUCCGGAAGAGGAGAGUGGAAUUCCUGGUGUAGCGGUGAAAUGCGCAGAUAUCAGGAAGAACACCCGUGGCGAAGGCGGCUCUCUGGGACGGUACUGACGCUGAGACGCGAAAGCGUGGGGAGCGAACAGG